GGAGAUGUAGCUCAGUGGUAGAGCAUUUGCCCAGUAUGCAAUGAGGCCCUGGGUUCAAUCCCUAGUACUA
rnacentral:tRNA from 1 species